AACGAACGCUGGCGGCAUGCCUAACACAUGCAAGUCGAACGAGACCUUCGGGUCUAGUGGCGCACGGGUGCGUAACGCGUGGGAACCUGCCUUUAGGUUCGGAAUAACUCAGAGAAAUUUGAGCUAAUACCGGAUAAUGUCUUCGGACCAAAGAUUUAUCGCCUUUAGAUGGGCCCGCGUAAGAUUAGCUAGUUGGUGGGGUAAAGGCCUACCAAGGCGACGAUCUUUAGCUGGUCUGAGAGGAUGAUCAGCCACACUGGGACUGAGACACGGCCCAGACUCCUACGGGAGGCAGCAGUGGGGAAUAUUGGACACUGGGGGGAAACCCUGAUCCAGCAAUGCCGCGUGAAUGAUGAAGGCCUUCGGGUUGUAAAGUUCUUUACCUGAGAAGAUAAUGACGGUAUCAGGGGAAAAAGCAACCGGCUAACUUCGUGCCAGCAGCCGCGGUAAU
rnacentral:rRNA from 1 species